UGGGAGAGAUUGGAAAUAAAUUACAUUUUUAGACUCACUUGCAUUUCUUUUAAUUAUUUUCCAACAAGUAGAUAUCUUAUGAGAUAUGGAACAUGAAGUCAAGUCCCAAGACAUUUUCCUACAACUCUUGGCUGAUAUGUCUGAAUAAUGUGUCUGAAUGUAUCUCUUUGCAUUUAUACUACUUUUGAAGAUCAUUGACUGCUAAAGUGCCAAAAAAUGCAGUUUUCUACCUGUCCAGAAGGGGAGGCAACAUGGAUAUUGGUGAUGAACAUCUGAAGUGUGUUUUAGGGCCAGAAUGGAUCUAUCUUGGUGAAUGUUCCAUGUGAGCUUAAGAAGUAUGUGUAUUCUGCUGUUGUUGGAUGAAGUAGUCUAUAGAUGCCCAUUUUACCCUGUUAAUUGAAUAAAACUAUGUCCUUACUGAUUUUCUGCCUGCUGGAUCUGUUCAUUUACGACAGAGGGAGUUGAAGUCUCCAACUAUGAUAGUGGAUUAAUCUACUUCUCCUUGCAGUUCUAUCAGGUUUUCCCUUAUGUAAUUUCACAUUCUGCUUUUAGGUGUGUAGAUGUUAAGGAUUGUUUUGUCUUCUUGGAGAAUUGACCCCUUUAUCAUUAUGUAAUAUCUCUCUUUAUCCCUGUUAUAUUUCCUUGCUCUGAAGUUUGUUCUGUCUUAAAUUAAUAUAGCUACUCCAGCUUUCUUUUGAUUAGUGUCAGCAUGCUAUAUUUUUCUCCAUUCAUUUACUUUUAACCUAUAUAUGUCUAUAUUUAAAGUGGGUUUCUUGUAUACAACAUAUAAUUGGAUCAUGUUAUUUUGAUCCACUAUAACAAUCUCCAUCUUUCAAUAGGUAAAUUUAGAUAAUUGACAUUUAAAGUGAUUAUUGAUGUGUUUGGAUUAAUAUUUACCAAAAUUAGUUACUGUUUUCUA